CACACACACCACCUGCCAAGCAUCUGCUUGGCCUACCGGGGGCAUAAUCAUCUAACCAAAGCUUAUCUUACGAGAAAAUGCCGAGAUUGUGUAAUUUACUGAUCCUGUGCUGAAGUGAAGAACACAAUGGUUGUAGGAGUAGAGAGUGCUGGAAGAACUCACUACAAAGUUAAAAGAGCAAAGUAUAUGGCUUCAUUUCUAAGUAAUUAGCCUCAUUAGAAAAGAACCACAAGUCUUUGAGGAUGACCUACGAACAGGAGGUAGUGAGCCAGUCAUGCAGGAUCCUAUCACUUAGCAAUUAAACCGUUCAACUGGAAACCA